rfam:Monodelphis domestica chromosome 2, whole genome shotgun sequence.
CCAAAGGCCCUUUUCAGGGCCAACCACAGAAUCUUUCAAAGGAGCU